rnacentral:lncRNA from 7 species
AUGUUGGAGAUCCCUGCCUACUGGAGGCCUUCUAAACGCAGACAAUGGGCAGGAUGUUCGCUGUCCGUCCCAGAGCAAACUGGAACCAAAAUUCCAACAAGGCAAAAUAAACAAUCUGAUGCUGAAAGGCUUCCCCCACUUCGCCCGAGAAAGGAAGAGCAGCAAAUCACGGCGGCGUCUGGCUCUGAACUCCCUGGUAAGCUCCGGGACGUUUUUACUGACAGCACUUUCUCAAGGAAGGUGUGAACAGCAGUAGAAGAGCUCCUUAUAAAUCUGGAGAGUCCACCCCCUCCGCGAGCCGAGCUCUCCAAAACGCCAGUGCCUAUUUCCAGCCGCGUGACUCGGCCGCUAUUGACAAAAUCUACUGCAGCUGAAGAAAUGAGGAUGCUUUUGAAGCCACUGAGUGUUCCUCAAGAUGUUUUCCUUCCUGCACGCACACGGCCGGUGAGACAAAGCGAAGAGGAAAAGCAAGAGCGGCACAGCGGUUUUUGGCGAUGGUUUCAGACGUUUAUAUUGGAAUGUGAACAUUUUCGCUUCCAUCCUAGCUUCUCCUUCUGCUCGCUGCUACAGGGAACAGCAUUUGGAUGGCACUGCACUCUGCUGCCGUAAUGACGGAGAUGUCACUAAUUUACCAUUUAGACUUCACUGCCUAUAAAACAGGAGGAGGAAAUGGGCUGCGAGUAUGAUAAGGCGCAAACUGUGUCUGUAAUACAAAUACACUUGAAAACUGGGAGGGAAAAGGGGAAGUUAGAAACAAUCAGCUAACAGCAUCUCUCCAGCAGCCAGCAUCAUGGUGAACAUGCAGGAUGGUUGCAGGGCCACCAGCUGCUGACCCUCAGGAUUUUGGCCAGGUUGGACAUCUCUGUGGCAUUUCUGUGCUUUGCAAGUUGCACUUAGCCAUCAUAGGCUUUUUCACAGAUCUGUCCAUUUUUGCUGCUGAGACCCUCUAACACUUCCGAGGCUGAGGAAAUUGUUAUAGACCCUGGGCUCAAAGCCCUGAUUGAGCAGUGACACCUUCUUAAAAUCUGACAUUUUAGAGCAUGAGGAUAACCCUGUUAGGGGAAAAAAAAGGAAUGCAUGGGAAGCAGAUUCCCAUCACAACCCAUUCAGUAGUGUCUUCUGAUAAGAGGGAGGGGAGGAUGGAGAUUAGGCUCAGCCCUCAGCUUUCGCUCAGGCCAAGCCUCAAGCUCAAAGAUAUCUAAGAGUUUUUUUCAAGUUUGCCUGUAUGGAGGAAACAGUUGCAUCAGAAAAGACCAAAAAGCCACACCUCUCAGGCU